GGCCCCUUGGUCAAGCGGUUAAGACACCGCCCUUUCACGGCGGUAACACGGGUUCGAAUCCCGUAGGGGGCA
rnacentral:tRNA from 1 species